GCCAGAUGUGCUGGUGUGCGCCCGUAGUCCCAGCUACUUGGGAGGCUGAGACAGGAGGAUUGCUUGAAUCCAGGAGUUCUGGACUAUAGUCUACUAUGCCGAUUGGGUGUCCGCACUAAGUUCGGCAUCAAUGUGGUGACCUCCCAGGAGCAGGGGGCCACCAGGUUCCCUAAGGAGGGGUGAACCGGCCCAGGUUAGAAAUGGAGCAGGUCAAAACUUCCAUGCAGAUCAGUAGUGGGAUCGCACCUGUGAAUAGCCACUGCACUCCAACCUGGGCAGCAUAGCGAGACCCUGUCUCUA
rfam:Otolemur garnettii contig073269, whole genome shotgun sequence.